GAUGAACGUUGGCGGCGUGCCUAACACAUGCAAGUCGAACGGAAGUAGCAAUACUUUAGUGGCGCACGGGUGAGUAACACGUAGCUUAUCUGCCUCAGAGUGUGGGAUAACCCCGCGAAAGCGGGACUAAUACCGCAUAAGCUCACGGACUCUAGAGGUCUGCGAGAAAAGGAGCAAUCCGCUUUGAGAGGAGGCUGCGGCCCAUCAGCUAGUUGGCGAGGUAAAGGCUCACCAAGGCAACGACGGGUAGGGGACCUGAGAGGGUGACCCCCCACACUGGGACUGAGACACGGCCCAGACUCCUACGGGAGGCAGCAGUGAGGAAUAUUGCACAAUGGGCGAAAGCCUGAUGCAGCGACGCCGCGUGGGUGAAGAAGGUUUUCGGAUCGUAAAACCCUUUUCUGUGUGACGAGAGAGGACGGUAGCACAGGAAUAAGUCUCGGCUAACUACGUG
rnacentral:rRNA from 1 species